rnacentral:rRNA from 1 species
AUUGAACGCUGGCGGCAUGCCUUACACAUGCAAGUCGAACGGUAACAGGUCUUCGGAUGCUGACGAGUGGCGAACGGGUGAGUAAUACAUCGGAACGUGCCUAGUAGUGGGGGAUAACUACUCGAAAGAGUGGCUAAUACCGCAUGAGAUCUACGGAUGAAAGCAGGGGAUCGAAAGACCUUGUGCUAUGAGAGCGGCCGAUGGCAGAUUAGGUAUUUGGUGGGAUAAAAGCUUACCAAGCCGACGAGCUGUAGCUGGUCUGAGAGGACGAUCAGCCACACUGGGACUGAGACACGGCCCAGACUCCUACGGGAGGCAGCAGUGGGGAAUUUUGGACAAUGGGCGCAAGCCUGAUCCAGCAAUGCCGCGUGCAGGAUGAAGGCCUUCGGGUUGUAAACUGCUUUUGUACGGAACGAAAAGCCCUGGGUUAAUACCCUGGGGUCAUGACGGUACCGUAAGAAUAAGCACCGGCUAACUACGUGCCAGCCGCCGCUGUAA